rnacentral:lncRNA from 1 species
AGGGCCCGGAUGUUACCCCGGAAGAGCUGGAGGGUGACGCGGUCUGGCCUCCCUGUUGGGAAGAGCCAGUGCGGUGUGUGGAAGAGCCUGAGACAGAAGCCUGAGAAGACUCUUACCAGAAUGGAGGAGAGGAAGGAAGGCGUUCUAGACCAGGGUGCGGACAAGAGGCCUUUGGGUUGCAAUCUGAAGGUGGACCAGGCAGUGGAUUGUGAAGGCGAUUGGGCUAGAAUUGUUCCGAACAAAAGAAGCAUGAAUUGCUGGAAACUAUAUAUUAAAUGCAAGACUAUUUGUCUAGUUUUCAUUGGGUGCUGAGUGAAGAGCCUCAACUCCUCGUAUUCCCAUGGUACUCAGAUGUCCGCGG